rnacentral:rRNA from 1 species
UACGAAGGGGGCUAGCGUUGCUCGGAAUCACUGGGCGUAAAGGGUGCGUAGGCGGGUUUUUAAGUCAGGGGUGAAAUCCUGGAGCUCAACUCCAGAACUGCCUUUGAUACUGAAGAUCUUGAGUUCGGGAGAGGUGAGUGGAACUGCGAGUGUAGAGGUGAAAUUCGUAGAUAUUCGCAAGAACACCGGCGGCGAAGGCGGCUGCCUGGACCAGUCCUGACGCUGAGGCGCGAAAGCUAGGGGAGCAAACAGG